GAUGAACGCUGGCGAGAUGCCUUAUACAUGCAAGUCGUACGAGAUUAAAAUCAAGUGGCGGACGGGUGAGUAACACGUAAGAAUUUGCCUUUAGGAGGGGGACAACAACUGGAAACGGUUGCUAAUACCCCAUAUACUUUCGAGUGAAAUGGAUUUUUCCGCCUAGGGAGAAGCUUGCGUCUGAUUAGCUUGUUGGUGAGGUAAUGGCUCACCAAGGCGACGAUCAGUAUCUGGUUUGAGAGGACGAUCAGACACACUGGAACUGAGACACGGUCCAGACUCCUACGGGAGGCAGCAGUAGGGAAUUUUCCGCAAUGGGCGAAAGCCUGACGGAGCAAUCUCGCGUGAGGGAUGACGGCCUAUGGGUUGUAAACCUCUUUUUUC
rnacentral:rRNA from 1 species